rnacentral:rRNA from 1 species
GAUGAACGCUGGCGGCGUGCCUAAUACAUGCAAGUCGAGCGAACAGACGAGGAGCUUGCUCCUCUGACGUUAGCGGCGGACGGGUGAGUAACACGUGGAUAACCUACCUAUAAGACUGGGAUAACUUCGGGAAACCGGAGCUAAUACCGGAUAACAUGUUGAACCGCAUGGUUCAACAGUGAAAGACGGUCUUGCUGUCACUUAUAGAUGGAUCCGCGCCGCAUUAGCUAGUUGGUAAGGUAACGGCUUACCAAGGCAACGAUGCGUAGCCGACCUGAGAGGGUGAUCGGCCACACUGGAACUGAGACACGGUCCAGACUCCUACGGGAGGCAGCAGUAGGGAAUCUUCCGCAAUGGGCGAAAGCCUGACGGAGCAACGCCGCGUGAGUGAAGAAGGUCUUCGGAUCGUAAAACUCUGUUAUUAGGGAAGAACAAAUGUGUAAGUAACUAUGCACGUCUUGACGGUACUUAAUCAGAAAGCCACGGCUAACUACGUG